GACGAACGCUGGCGGCGUGCUUAACACAUGCAAGUCGAGCGGAGCGGCGAACGGGUGAGUAACGCGUGAGUAACUGCCCCCCUCUCUGGGAUAACAGAUGGAAACGGCUGCUAAUACCGGAUAGUGUGGGAUGACUCGCGGCCUAUCAGAUGUUUGGGUGGGUAGUGGCCUACCAAGGCGACGACGGGUAGCCGGCCUGAGAGGGCGACCGGCCACAUUGGGCUAAGAUACGGCCCAAACGCCUACAGGAGGCAGCGGUGGGGAGUAUUGCGCAAUGGGGGAAACCCUGAUGCAGAAACGCCGCGGGCGGGAUGACGGCCUACGGGUUGUAAACCGCUUUCAGCCAUGACGCGGUAGUGGCAGAAGAAGCACCGGCUAACUACGUGCCAGCAGCCGCGGUAAUUC
rnacentral:rRNA from 1 species